rnacentral:rRNA from 1 species
UAGUCUGGUGCCAGCAGCCGCGGUAAUUCCAGCUCCAAUAGCGUAUAUUAAAGUUGUUGCAGUUAAAACGCUCGUAGUCGGAUUUCGGGGCAGGUUUGCCGGUCUGCCGAUGGGUAUGCACUGGUAGAACUGUCCUUCCUUCCGGAGACGGCGCCUACUCUUAACUGAGCGGGUGUCGGAGACGGAUCGUUUACUUUGAAAAAAUCAGAGUGUUUCAAGCAGGCAGCUCGCUUUUGCAUGGAUUAGCAUGGGAUAAUGAAAUAGGACUUUGGUGCUAUUUUGUUGGUUUCGAACACCGAAGUAAUGAUUAACAGGGACAGUCAGGGGCACUCGUAUUCCGCCGAGAGAGGUGAAAUUCUUAGACCAGCGGAAGACGAACCACUGCGAAAGCAUUUGCCAGGGAUGUUUUCACUGAUCAAGAACGAAAGUUAGGGAAUCGAAGACGAUCAGAUACCGUCGUAGUCUUAACCAUAAACCAUGCCGACUAGGGAUUGGAGGAUGUUCCUAUGUGACUCCUUCAGCACCUUUCGGGAAACUAAAGUCUUUGGGUUCCGGGGGGAGUAUGGUCGCAAGGCUGAAACUUAAAGGAAUUGACGGAAGGGCACCACCAGGAGUGGAGCCUGCGGCUUAAUUUGACUCAACACGGGGAAACUUACCAGGUCCAGACAUUGUGAGGAUUGACAGAUUGAGAGCUCUUUCUUGAUUCGAUGGGUGGUGGUGCAUGGCCGUUCUU